GUGUCACAAUGUCUCCUGUUAAGUUGUCAGGAUUGGGGCACCAACGUGGUUGCCAUAGUCACUCUUAGCAGUGGCCUAUGGUUGCUGGCCUGAGAGCAUAGUUCUAAGUUCCCAGGAUAAUUAACAAAAUAGUAAUGAAAUAGGCUAUUCUGACUGUCAUCUUUUUUUGAACUAAAUUUCUGAUGAGUAUGAAGAGAUUUUUAGCCUUAAAUUGUUUGUGAUAAUUAGGGUAACACUAUCUUAAAUAUUUGAAGUGAGUGAAAUGUCCUUCUAUGAUGUAACAUUUGCAAGUGUGGCAUUUAGUCACCAAUGAAGUAUCUCUCAAAGUAAGUUACAUUAGGCAAUCAUUAUUGCUGUUUUAUAUAUAUUAGAAAGAAACCCUUUUAUGAAGCAGAAUUUGGUCUCUUUAAAUUGUUUUUCCCUGCGUGGAGGACUAGAAGCAGGAAGAAGACUCAUUAAGCCAGACAUUCAGUUGCCGGGGAGGCGAGGGACCUCAGCACGCCAGGAAGUUAAUGGCACCCCAGCUUGGGAGCUUCAGCAAGGGACAGGAGAGACUUCAGGAGCCUCUUCACGCUAUCACUUCACAGGCUAGAAGGUGACAGCUUCGCCAGGGACUAAUGCAGUCCGACAUAAUUGAAUGUGGCCUGGAGCAAAGCAGCUGCCUGCAGCCACUCUUGAUUGUAGCUGUCAUCAGGUAGCGCCUGCUGCAGGAAAAUACAUUCCAGUGGAACGCCAUCCCUCCCCUCAGCUCCGUGGUGAUAGCUUAUUUACCCUUCCGCGGCGAC
rnacentral:lncRNA from 1 species